GCUGGGCACAGUGGCGUGUGCCUGUAGUCCCAGCUACUUGGGAGGCUGAGGCAGAAGAAUGGCUUGAACCCGGGAGGUGGAGGUUGCAGUGAGCCGAGAUUGCACCGCUGCACUCCACCCUGGGCAACAGAGCGAGACUCUGUCUCAA
rnacentral:SRP_RNA from 1 species